rnacentral:misc_RNA from 1 species
GGGGAACCCAUGCAAAUGGGUCGGAGGCAGCGUCGAAGGUGGGGUUGGUAAUUGGGGUGAAGUCGUAACAAGGUAUCCGUACCGGAAGGUGCGGAUGGAUCACCUCCUUUCUAAGGAGAACAGGGAGUAAGGCAGAGAGAAAGAGGUUUAACCUUUUGUAUCUCACCUCACACUUCCCGAAUCCUAUGGUCGAUGACCACUUUUAGUCUUCUGUUGGUUUUAUAUAUUAAUAUGGGAUCAAAUCCGACUAAUGUCGGCUUUUUUUAGAGGGCCUAUAGCUCAGCUGGUUAGAGCGCACGCCUGAUAAGCGUGAGGUCGAUGGUUCAAAUCCAUCUAGGCCCACCAUUUGUGAAAUUCACAGUGAGAGGUUAGAAGGGGGAAUUCUAGAAACCGAAUUGAACGGUUUCGCCCGAUGAUACCACUUCCAUCACCACUUGUUUCACCUUUCAGCACAUGGGGGUGUAGCUCAGUUGGGAGAGCACCUGCCUUGCAAGCAGGGGGUCAGGAGUUCGAGUCUCCUCAUCUCCACCAUUUUAUAAUUUUGUGAGGAGUGAGGCGUGAGGUGUGAGGCGAAAGCCUGACCCCGAAGACUUGAUUCCGCACAAUGAUCCAAAUCGUAAGGCAAAGGGAACCAGGAAGAGGAAUAUAAAAAAUCGCCUCACCCCUCACCCCUCACGUCUCACGAUUCGCGCGAAGCGCGAAGAGCUCUUUGACAAUUGCACAUAGGAAGAAAGAAGCAGGAACAAUUUCAUUUGAAGUCAUUCAGAUGAGAGAGUUCUCUCGAAGCGAAAAUA